UUAAUACUCCCUCCGUUCGGAAUUACUUGUCAUAAAAAUGGAUGUAUCUACAACUAAAAUACAUCUAGAUACAUUCUUUUUGGACGAGUAAUUCCAAUCGGAGGGAGUAGCAU
rfam:Triticum aestivum genome assembly, contig: Triticum_aestivum_CS42_TGACv1_scaffold_578732_7BL